ACCCUAGAUCUACGUACACCACUUUGCCUUCUUUGCUCCGCUCGUUCUCCGCUCGACCCUGCACUUCAUUCGCUCCGCUUUGCUCACCCUUUUCAAUUUGCUCGCCCUAGAUCUACUUCGUGCAUCAUGCGACUCUGUUGCGCCCGCUUCACUCUCUAUCUCAGUCUCUCUCUCCGUCGAUGGCUUCUUCUUCGUCUCUCCUUUGCCUGAUGGUUCUUGUCACGGUGAUCGAGGUGGUGAUGAUUGUCGGAGAGGAUGAUGACGGAGGCAACCAGAGAGAAUUCAAUUAGUUUAGAGCAAUGGCUGGCCAGGCACUUUCUGCCGGCGGACUCGCCAUUGUUGCUACUCCAACACGCUACAGAUAUCUUGGAUUUAAGAGAACUUUUCUCUUAGAUCGUAAAGCGUUUGUGGCUUUACUGGAUUUGCAUCAGUAUGGGACAAUUUCACAUGAUAAUUUUGAAGUUGCUGUACAUCUGGCAAAUGAGAAGAUGUCACAGUCAAGUCAUCGUAGAGUAAUAGAGUUAUUGUUGAUGAGCCCAAAGAGGAGGAUUACUUAUGUGCAAAUUCUAUGAUGUGCCUUUGUGACCAGCCUAACUAUGAUGAUUCACAAGGCCCGAGCAAGAGGAACUCCAGUGAAGUCUCUAGUUGAUUUCCAGCAAUGAUAAACUAUUGUCAUCUGGACUUGUUCUGCACAAUAUGUUCAUGAGCUUGACAUUCAAGUUGAUCUUGCAGCGCACGGUACAGACACUCUUGAAUUUGAUGCACAAGCUACUCCACUUUGUUUGUCCAUGAUAUGAGGCUAACAAGAAGCAGCAAGCAAAGAUUUGCCUUUCUUUGAGGGCAGCUACAAAGAUAAAUUUAUCAUUUGUUGCUGUCCAGAGUUGAUGAUUGUAAUAUGUUGAGAAGUCACUAAAAACAAGCGUACAAUUUGUUCUUCUUGUGAUAACGCAGAAUGAAAGCCUAUUUUGGUUCAUGUCCA